rnacentral:rRNA from 1 species
CCUACGGGAGGCAGCAGUGGGGGAUAUUGCACAAUGGGGGAAACCCUGAUGCAGCGACGCCGCGUGGGCGAAGAAGUAUUUCGGUAUGUUAAGCUCUAUCAGCAGGGAAGUAGAAAUGACGGUACCUGCGUAAUAAGCACCGGCUAAAUACGUGCCAGCAGCCGCGGUAAUACGUAGGGUGCAAGCGUUAUCCGGAUUUACUGGGUGUAAAGGGAGCGCAGGCGGCACGGCAAGCCUGAUGUGAAAGCUCGCGGCCCAACCGCGGGAGUGCAUUGGGAACUAGCGGGCUGGAGUGCCGGAGAGGUAGGCGGAAUUCCUAGUGUAGCGGUGAAAUGCGUAGAUAUUAGGAGGAACACCAGUGGCGAAGGCGGCCUACUGGACGGUGACUGACGCUGAGGCUCGAAAGCGUGGGGAGCAAACAGGAUUAGAUACCCUUGUAGUC